UACGUAGGGAGCAAGCGUUGUCCGGAAUCAUUGGGCGUAAAGCGCGCGUAGGUGGCUCUGUAAGUCCGUUGUGAAAGUCAAAGGCUCAACCUUUGAAAGCCGAUGGAUACUGUAGAGCUAGAGUCCGGAAGAGGCGAGUGGAAUUCCUGGUGUAGCGGUGGAAUGCGCAGAUAUCAGGAGGAACACCAAUAGCGAAGGCAGCUCGCUGGGACGUGACUGACACUAAGGCGCGAAAGCGUGGGGAGCGAACAGG
rnacentral:rRNA from 1 species